CCUACGGGGGGCAGCAGUAGGGAAUUUUCGUCAAUGGGCGCAAGCCUGAACGAGCAAUGCCGCGUGAACGAGGAAGGUCUUCGGAUCGUAAAGUUCUGUUGAAGGGGAAAAAGAGCGGAGAGAGGAAAUGGUCUCCGAUUGAUAUUACCCUUCGAGGAAGUCACGGCUAACUACGUGCCAGCAGCCGCGGUAAUACGUAGGUGGCGAGCGUUAUCCGGAAUGAUUGGGCGUAAAGGGUGCGUAGGCGGCCUGCUAGGUCUGGAGUGAAAGGUACCGGCUCAACCGGUACAGGAUCUGGAAACUGGCGGGCUAGAGAGCAGGAGAGGGCGGUGGAACUCCAUGUGUAGCGGUAAAAUGCGUAGAUAUAUGGAAGAACACCAGUGGCGAAGGCGGCCGCCUGGCCUGUUACUGACGCUGAGGCACGAAAGCGUGGGGAGCAAAUAGGAUUAGAUACCCGGGUAGUC
rnacentral:rRNA from 1 species